rnacentral:lncRNA from 1 species
GGGCGGCUCCUCCCCGCGCCUCGGGCAGCUCGGGCAGCUCGGGGCCGUGCGGGGACGGCCGUGCGGGGACGGCGAGCCCCGGGCCCCGCGCCGCCCGUGUGCGGGCCGUGCGAUCGCCGCUAACGGCCGGCCCCGCUCGGUGCGUUGCAGCCGGGAGCGCCUGGCACCGCGCUGACCGUCCGCCCGUGGAGCCGGCAGCGGAGGACGAGCGGCGGCACGACGAGGACCGGCACGACGACGACGACGACGACGACGACGACGAGGACGAGCGGAGCCUGCGGACGGCCCUCAAGAAGCUGCGGCUGGACGCGGCGCGGCGGCACGAGGACGAGGAGGAGCAGCAGCAGCAGCAGCAGGACGACGACGAGGACGAGGACGACGACGACGAGGACGAGGAGGAGCGCAGCCUGCGGACGGCCCUCCAGGAGCUGCGGGUGGACGCGGCGCGGUGUGAGAGGACUGCAGGAGGACCGGCCGGUCUCUCACGGCACGGACGUUCCAGGUCUCCUGUCCUAUCCAUCUGUGAAACAGCCCUGUGCAGCCCUCCCGCAUCCCGUUCUGUGGAGGCUCACGCUUAUGUCAGUGACGUGACUGUGGAAGACCUGGCAGGGUACCUGGAACACCAUCUGCAUAUACCAAAGAAAAUGUCUGCCAUGGCAGAAAUGAUGUAUUCAUAACCAAACAUCAAAAACAGUCACAGUUCUAAGCGCUAUCAGAAAUUUAAAUGGCUCGUUUGUGCCAUAUUUGUAAUGUUCUGCUUCAUCAAAUGUUUUAUUACACGGUACAGUUUAGUUUUGUAAUUAAGAGAAAAACUGUACAUCGUUGCAUAGACUCCUGUGGCUGAAAUGAUGUAUACUUAACUGAAAGCCAUACUCAGUCACAUAGUAAUACAGUUUAUUUUUGUAACUCGAAUAAAAACUGUAUAUCGUCUC